AACGAACGCUGGCGGCAUGCUUAACACAUGCAAGUCGAACGAGAAUUUCGGGUUGAGUGGCGUACCGGUGCGUGACGCGUGGGAACCUCCCCUUGGGUUCGCAAUGCCUCCCCGAAAGACAUGCUAAUACCGCUGAUUAUCCUCGCUCCAAAGAUCUGUCGCCUUUUGAUUGGCCCGCGUUGGAUUAGCUAGUUGGUAGGGUAACAGCCUAUCAAGGCGAUGAUCCAUAGCUGGUCUGCGAGGAUGAUCAUCCAGACUGGGGCUGAGACACGGCCCAGACUCCGACGGGAGGCAGUGGUGGGGAAUAGUGGAGGAGGGGAGAAAGCCUGAUGCAGCAAUGCGGGGUGGGAGAUGAAGGCCGUAGGGUAGUGAAGCUCUUUUACCCGAGAAGAUAGUGACGGUACCGGGAGAAGAAGCUCCGGCUAACUACGUG
rnacentral:rRNA from 1 species